rnacentral:rRNA from 1 species
UUUAAUGAGAGUUUGAUCCUGGCUCAGGAUGAACGCUGGCGGCGUGCCUAAUACAUGCAAGUAGAACGCUGAAGCUUGGUGCUUGCACCGAGCGGAUGAGUUGCGAACGGGUGAGUAACGCGUAGGUAACCUGCCUCUUAGCGGGGGAUAACUAUUGGAAACGAUAGCUAAUACCGCAUAAAAGUCGAUAUCGCAUGAUAUUGAUUUGAAAGGUGCAAUUGCAUCACUAAGAGAUGGACCUGCGUUGUAUUAGCUAGUUGGUGAGGUAACGGCUCACCAAGGCGACGAUACAUAGCCGACCUGAGAGGGUGAUCGGCCACACUGGGACUGAGACACGGCCCAGACUCCUACGGGAGGCAGCAGU